UACGUAGGGAGCAAGCGUUGUCCGGAAUUACUGGGUGUAAAGGGAGCGUAGGCGGGGAUGCAAGUUGGGUGUCAAAACUACCGGCUCAACCGAUAGUCGCACUCAAAACUGCAGCUCUUGAGUGAAGUAGAGGCAGGCGGAAUUCCUAGUGUAGUGGUGAAAUGCGUAGAUAUUAGGAGGAACACCAGUGGCGAAGGCGGCUUACUGGACAGUAACUGACGUUGAGGCUCGAAAGCGUGGGGAGCAAACAGG
rnacentral:rRNA from 1 species